AUGGUCCAUUACAAUCUCUGUUCAAUGAUGUUGGAUGAGGUUGGAGGCACCUUGCUUACAGUUCUCAAAGUUUACUUGGGAGGUAAUGUUAUUUUGGCUAUUAAUAUUUCCUGUCUGUUAUAUCUUCAGAAUUCAGUCAAUUAUAGAUCCCAAGUUUAUUCUUUGUCUUCGUCGAUAGAAGCUAUUCAUACUGACCCUUGUAUUUUACUUUUUUUCUCUUUUCAAUUUAUUGUAGGCCUUAGAAAAAAGGCUCAACCUGGAAAUAGUUGGCUGAAUCUCUUGUGGAAACAAUUAAAACUGUAA